GACAGAGUGGGCAGGAGGAAAGCGCUCUGUUCGUCCCCUCCGCCGCCACCACCUCGACUUGCGGAGAGGGGUCGGGCCGAGUGGCGGCGGGAGCAGCCCCUUCCUUUCCCCCGGGGAGGCGACCCGGGCUCUGGGAGCCGCCGGAGGCAGCCACCGCGAAGAGAAGGGGGCGCAGGCAAAGAGAUGCAUUGAAACUUUCCGCGCAAACUUUGGCGUGAGUGCGCGAAACCGAGCGAGCGCGGCGAGGGUGCCUACUGCCCCGGCGCGGGGAGCGCGGCCGCGGACGGGCGCCGCUGUGGAGCUCGGACUGCCCAGCUGUGGGGGCCGAGCAGCGGCGGCUGGGCGGCCGCGGAGCCUGCGCUCGGCCCGGCGGAGCGCCCGCAGAGAGCAGCAGCAACAGCAGCAGCAGCGAGGGCCGGCGGAGAGCCGGGCUUAUGGAGGGGUGAAACCGGAGACCCCGAAGAGGAACCCUUCUUUUCGCGGAGAACCUCGCAGCGCCCGGCCGGCGGCACCCCAGGAGGAGGCGGCGGCGGCGGCGGGCACGGAGGAGGCGCGGGCGAGAGCGCGGCGGGGCGGCGGCGGCGGCGGGGCGGCGGCGAGGCGGAGCGCGGCGGGCCCCGCUCCGCUGCGUGUGCCGGCAACCAUGAACUUUCUGCUCACUUGGAUCCACUGGGGGCUGGCGGCGCUGCUCUAUCUGCAGAGCGCGGAGUUGUCGAAGGCAGCUCCUGCCCUGGGGGAUGGGGAGCGGAAACCCAAUGAAGUUAUCAAAUUCCUGGAAGUCUAUGAGCGCAGCUUCUGCAGGACAAUUGAGACCCUGGUGGACAUUUUCCAGGAGUACCCUGAUGAGGUGGAGUACAUAUUCAAGCCAUCCUGUGUGCCUCUGAUGAGAUGUGCGGGUUGCUGCGGCGAUGAGGGCCUAGAAUGUGUUCCUGUGGAUGUGUACAACGUCACGAUGGAGAUCAUGAGAAUUAAACCCCAUCAGAGUCAGCACAUAGCGCACAUGAGCUUCUUACAGCACAGUAAAUGUGACUGCAGACCAAAGAAAGAUGUCAAAAACAAACAAGAAAAGUCGAUUUUCCUCCCCUCACCGCCUCCUUGUGACUCCUGACAUGUAGGGCAGAGGCUGGGAGCGAGCUGAUGCUCUGACACUCAUUCCAGUGAGACGACUUGAACAGGGCUUAAGAAACACCUAUGGUGCUUUCCCUUCUGUCCCCCAUGUCCCCAUCACAGCUCCCUCCUGAGGUGGGCUGUGCCAGGGAAUGAGGGAGCCUUUGCUGAACUACUGCAAUGCUGGGGCUCACUUGCCUGACAAGCCCUGGUGCUUUUGCCUAGGGCCUUCUCCUUGCAUGUCUCUCCUUUGGUCCUGUGCUAAUGUGGCUCAGGAGCAGCGCAGGCUCCAGCCUCCCUCUUUCCCUGUGCUCUCACUGGUCUGUAGAGGUCCAUGGUUAGUGUCUAGGCCUGCCCAAGAGUCAGGAGCUACUGGUGAAUUUUUCAGAAUGGAGUCAGUGCCUUGGCUCCAACUGCUCAUCUGUCUGGCAGAUCCACAUGGAAGGCAACGGGAAGGAGGGAAAGGAGGGAAAAUCGGAAAGCUGCUUGCUGGUUAUCUCUUGGGUGUCAUAACUAGGUCAGGCCUCCCUUUUUCCCCUCCAGUGCUCAGGUUAGAGGCUGCCAGAGGGGAGGUUAGCAGACAUCUGGUGAGGUCUCCUGAAGCCCUCCAAACCACACGCAGGAGGUGGGAUGGGUAAGCAGAGCCUUCAGGCUAGAUAGCUCUCUCCCACACAGUGCUGCUGUGUAGACCGGGUCUCACCCCUUGUCUGUAGGGUGCUGAGGUGAGGCCCCCUUUGCUUCCAUCCCAAGACAGGAUCACCACCACCCUGGCAGCAGAGCUGUUGGAGCUUGGCUGCCCCCUCCUAGGCCUGGUGCUGGGCAGUGCAUCAGGUCAGAGCAGUUUCCUUUUCCCUGGGGAGAACCUCUCCCCUCAGGUUGCCUCUUGUCAGUCAGUGUGCACCCGUGCUUGUCGCUUGGAACGGUUGUCUGCACUCCCUGCGGUUGCGUGAUGCUUUCACGAAGCUUUCUGUUCCUUCCCCUCACGCCCUGUCCUUUCCCCACUGCCCCUCUGAUUUGGAGGGGCAGCAGAUCUGCCUGUGCUGGCAGCAGCCCUGCUGGCGGUGGUCUCUGAGUCCCUGGCACUGGCUUGGCCAUGGGCAGGCUGGUUGCGGUGCUGGCAGGAGCGCAGAAGGGCCGGUGAAUGUGUGUGCGAGGUGGAGAUCUAUGCUUCGGCCUUGGGACCUGCCAUCCAGUCCUGCCCCAUGUGCUUCCCCCUCCUAGCAAGGCACAUGGCUGUAUUUUUUUUCCUCCUCUUCCUUGCGUUUUCUUCUGUUUUCUCUCUCUCUCCCUUUCUUUCCUUCUCUCUCUCUUUCUCUGUUUUUUUUUUUUUUUUGUUUUUCUUCCAGAAAAUCAAAGCGAGGAAAGGGGAAGGGUCAAAAGAGAAAGCGCAAGAAAGGCCGGUACAAACCACUCAGCUUAUGUGAAAAACCGAGACGGUGAGCAGCGGAAAAGAAGGGGGAACAGCCCUGUUUCUGGAGCCUGAUUUCUCGCCUGGACAGAAAAAAAAACAAAACACUAAUCCAAAUGAACCCUAAAAAUGAAGGAUCGGUAGAGCACAGCACUUUCAGUACGGACGAUGGACUCCGGAAGGAACAUUCCCCAAGGCACCCGCCGCACAGAAUUCACCUUUGGGUUUUGAACUGUUUUAUUUUAUUUUUCUUUUCAUGCUGCUAAAUAACAGAGCCAGGAAGACUAUAGGGGUGUAUUUGAUGGGUUUUGCCAUGCAUACAUAUAUAUGUGUGUAUACGUACAUAUACAUAUAUAUAUAUGUAUAUAUAUUUUAACCACAUCUAUAUAUACAUAUAUGUAUAUCUUAACCACACACACAUAUAUAUAAAAUAUAUAUAUAUAUACUGAUUAUUUUUUUUAACAUUGCUAAUGUUAUUGGUGUCUUCACUGGAUAAUACUCGACUGCUGUGGACACAAGCGGGCUACUUGGGGCAUAAGAAACAAGCUAAGACUGGACUUGAGUAGAAGCGCUGGGUGUAAACUUCUUAACUCUAACUGACUUGUGCGGCCUCCGCUGUUUCUCUGUAGAGUGUGCUGUACCACAAACCACCUUCUCCUUGCCUGGGACAGGGAGGAGAGGUGAUGGAGAGGAUGGGCAGGGAGUUCCAAAGAGCGGCAUCCUAGGGUGCGAUGGGUCAAAGGCCAAGGAAAUGGCCAUCUCCGUGAUCAAGGAUUCCUCCUCCCCUCUCUUCCCCCAACCUUCGCCCUUACUCGUCUCAUAACCUGCCUGCCUUGCUGGGACAUGGGAUGUCAGUGUACAUUUUGCGUUGACUUUAUUCGCUGUAGAAACUUUGCCAGAGAAAGAUGCUGGCUUCUCUUAAGGAUGGUGGGCAGCUGAUGCACACUAACUUUCCAUUCAAGGAAGUAUCACAGGAAUCUAGAUUUCCCGCCCUUGGUGGCUGCAAAAGGACACAAGGCCUACAGUGUGCUGAAGCAAGAAUGGGGACCGGUGCAUAGCCACACAGUUAUUCAGCACUGUCUGCUUUCUUCAUGCACAGAGCUGCCACUCAAGAGCAUCCAAGAUGCUUACGGAACAUUUCUGGAAAGGGAUAUUAAUCAGAAGUAUAUACACAGUAGGGGGGUGUGUGUGUAUGUGAAUGUGUGCAUUUGUGUCUGUGUGUAUGUAUGCUUGCGUUUUUCUCUCUUUUUUAUAUAUAUAUAUUUAUUUUUAUACAUAUAUAUAUAUAAAAAAAUAAUAUAUAUGUAUGCCAAGAUUGAAGGGGGGAAAAGAAUACAUUUUUUGUUGCCUUCAGUUUAUGUGCCCGGUGUGAAUGACCCUUAAGAGCGUGAAGAUUUUUUUCCUUUUUUAUGACAUACUGUAAAUAUCAGACCCCUUUUCCAUGUCUUGGGCUGGGGAAUCAAAUGUGAAGGCAGCCGGAAUCCCUAAGCCGUGUCCAAGAAUCUUGGCUAUGUGUGUAUCUGCAAUAUAUGCUGUGGUGUAUGUGAAACCCACCGUACACACGUGCGCACACACACACCCCCCUGAAAGCGUGUUUGUACAUCUAUGUGGAUAUAUAUAAUCUAGUUCUGUGAUUAAAAUUAUUAUUAUUAAUAAUAAUAAUCAAAAAGGUACUCGGUCUGUGUCAGAAUGCUGCCAAACAUCAUCUGCAAUUGAAUUUUCAACGCCUGAUAAUGUACAACACGGAAAGCUUCCAAAAAGACAAGACAGUCUAAAAACAGACUCACAACAAGUGACUACUAACCACUAGGAACUCCCCAUCUGACUGGUGGCUUUCAGGAGGAGGAAAAACACGCGGGUGGGUGCUUGCAUCUGCAAUGUGUAAUACUCAUGCUGCAUCGUGCGCAAGACAGAGGCUUCCGAUCGGGGGGAGGGAAGAGAAAGUGUUUUAUAUACUUAUUUAAUAUCCCUUUUUAAAUUAGAAAUUAAACAGAUAAUUUAAUGAGAGAGUAGGGAUUUUUCAGUAUUCUUUGUUAAUAUUUAAUUUCAACUAUUUAUAAGCCGUACCUCCUUUUUUUUUUUUUUUUUUUUUAUUUGUACUGGUUGUGUAUAAAUUUAACCUUCCCCUUGUCCCGUCCCAUCUCUCCCCAAUUGUUGGCAGAGUCAGUAGCAUGUUAUGGGCAGUUAUUUAAUUAAUUUCUCUAACACCUACCCCUACACAUUCCUAUUGAGACAAGAGUUAGAUAUACAUCUACAUACUAUAUAUAUAUUUGGCUAUGUGUUUGUAUAUAUAUAUAUGUUUAUGUAUAUGUGUGAUUCGGAUUAAAUAGACGCUACGAUUUUUUUAUAUAUGUAAAAAGAAGAAACAGGAAAAAUAGAAAAUUCUACAUCUUGAAUCUCUCUCCUUUUUAAUUUUAAUAUUUGUUAUCAUUUUAUUUAUUGGUGCUACUGUUUAUCUGUAAUAAUUGCGGGGAAAAAAGAUAUUAACACUACAUAUUGUGUCUAGUGAAUUUUUUCAAGAUAUUCCUUAGUACAUAUUUAUUUUUAAACAAAGAAAUUACAGAUAUAUCUUAAACAGCGACGACGACGACAAACAAACUUUUUUUGUAUUAAAGAAUUUAAUUCUGACCUUGA